rnacentral:rRNA from 1 species
UGAGGAACAUGACCUUCGGCGGGGGAUAGCCGGCCCAACGGCCGGGUAAUACCGCGUACGACCACAUGGGGACAUCCCUGAGUGGUGAAAGCAGCAAUGCGCCGAUGGAGUGCCUCGCGGCCUAUCAGCUAGUUGGUGAGGUAACGGCUCACCAAGGCAACGACGGGUAGCUGGUCUGAGAGGAUGGCCAGCCCACAGUUGGGGACUGAGACACCGGCCCAGACCUGUACCGGGGAGG